UACGAAGGGGGCGAGCGUUGUUCGGAUUUACUGGGCGUAAAGGGCGCGUAGGCGGCCCUCCUGGUCGCGUGUGAAAGCCCCGGGCUCAACCUGGGAAUUGCGCGCGAAACGGGGGGGCUUGAGUUCGGGAGAGGAGCGUGGAAUUCCCAGUGUAGAGGUGAAAUUCGUAGAUAUUGGGAAGAACACCGGUGGCGAAGGCGGCGCUCUGGCCCGAUACUGACGCUGAGGCACGAAAGCGUGGGGAGCAAACAGG
rnacentral:rRNA from 1 species